UGUCAUCUGUUGCUUAGUUUCUGC
rnacentral:siRNA from 1 species